rnacentral:lncRNA from 1 species
UCCGGUCUGGUUGUAGUGAGCAGUGAUGAAAAUAAAAUUUGGGUCAACACCUCAACGGUUAGCUGAUGUUGCAUAUCUAAUGUGGUUUAUUUGUAAGUUUGACUUCCGAGGACGUUGAUGUGUUAAUACUUAAUCUGACCAUUUCUCCUACCAGUUUUGCUAUGCCUGAGGUACUGACAUUUGGUGGCAGAAGAGAAAAUUCACCUUGUGAUGAUCCCUAUUUUUUGUUGGCAGAUUCGCGAGAUGUGAUCUGUGAUGGACGCAUUCGCGUACAUGAUUUGGAGAAGAGCACAUGAGGUAGGUGAAGGGGUGUUUACUGAACAUUUUUUGCAUUUUCUUACAAUUUUGAUUUGCAUUAUUAGGUUGAUGGAAUAGGUGCAGUUAUAGUUAAAAUACCUAUCAGCAGUAAGUGGUCAGUACUCACUACAGUUGGUUGAUGAAAUAAUUUGUUGUAACUACGAUCAGUAAGUGGCCACUGGCCAGUGCAGUUGGUUGAUGGAAUAAUUUGUUAGCGAUCAUCAUAUGGCCUCGACUAGCUCUUCAAGUGUGCACGUUCUCAGCAUCCAGCAUCCCUUCACUUGCGUUGGCAGGGUGUAUGCCGUGCGAGCUAGCUUGGUCAAAUGAUUUCCCCAAAAGUCUUGUCCUAUCUUCCUAGUUUCAUUUAGUCGGUAUCAAUUCAUACAUAAAGAAAAGAUAAUGCAGAAGCUAUGCACACCUACCCACAACAGCAACAUCAUGUAUGUAGCAGGCCUACAGGGGUUAGAUUGGGUUUGACUUGAGCAGGUCAAAACUAUUUUCCUACUUAUUUGUCGAACAGCUACAUCCUUUUCCUUAAACCGGGUGCAACUGAAUCAGCAGGAGGUUGAAAUUCUGUGGCAUCUAAUCUUUACCAUGCACAGUAAACAAGUGGUGUAUGUUGUUCUCUUUUCCAAUUAUUGGAUGAGAAGCUGUGCCAUUUCAUCUAAUCUGUAAUAAAGGUUUUAUUCUUUUUCUAAGACUUAACAAGAAUCACUGUCACUUACUAGUUUAAUCAAUAAUUAAGGUAUCCACGUCAUGUGCACUAUGUCAUUUUCUUGAUAUUCUGAUCUUAUUAUUAUACAACAACCUAAAUUCUUUAAAGCAAAGCUUUGCUAUUUAGAGGUCUUGAGCACACACCCUUACGAGCCGUCCGAUCGGGAUCCCGAUCGCCAGGUGUUCCGUUGUCGGGUUUUACGGAGCGAAGGGAAACGCGAACGAACAACACACAGCGGAAGUGGGCCUCAAGCAUCUCGCCGCAGGCCACAUCAGGGAUGGCCUCGACCUCCUGCUGCUAGCUGCUGGUGCACCUCCUUCUCCCUACUGCUAUCUCCUGCUGCAUCCUACAGCUGCCCCAGCUCCGAUGUCUGAACUUUUACUUGUGACCGUGUACAGGUGCUGGCUGUAGCUUGAACUGGAGGUCUGGAGCAGAAAAAUUGCACCGAGGUAGCAGGUGGAUGAUGGUGUUGGUGCCUUUCUCUUGAAUUGUUGCUGGUGAUGGCUGCAAUUUAAAGGAGUAUUUUUUUCCUUUCUCUCCUUCCAUUUCUGUAAUUGUGCUUCCCCUAUGCGUGAUGAUGUUUCUUAGCACAAGGUGCAUUGGCUUGGGUUGAUCUGCUGUGAUAGUUCGGAGAGAUGAUAGUAGCAAGUAUAAACUCUCUACUAUGAUUAUAUUCAUAACACAUGGCAAAAAAGAGACUGCAUUAUUAAGUAAUCUGUUGUUUCGUUAUCAUUCUAAUUCUUUUUUAGCCACUAUACAUGUGUCAUGUAUGAGAACUUGAUAGAUAUUUGCUUAUCUGUGUCCAAGUGAUUACAGCAUAUAAUAAAGCGGGGAAAACAAG